rnacentral:rRNA from 1 species
UAUGACUCUCGGCAACGGA